UACGAAGGUGGCAAGCGUUGUUCGGAUUUACUGGGCGUACAGGGAGCGUAGGCGGUUGGGUAAGCCCUCCGUGAAAUCUCCGGGCCUAACCCGGAAAGUGCGGAGGGGACUGCUCGGCUAGAGGAUGGGAGAGGAGCGCGGAAUUCCCGGUGUAGCGGUGAAAUGCGUAGAUAUCAGUAGGAACACCAAUGGCGAAGGCAGCUUGCUGGCAUGUAUCUGACGCUAAGGCACGAAAGCGUGGGGAGCGAACAGG
rnacentral:rRNA from 1 species